AUCUGUGUAGUGGUGCAGCCAGGUCAUUUUUAUCUUGUGUUUGACGUCUUUACUCUAAUCCAAAACGGUUUUUUUUUCCCACAUCAGCCUGGGUGGAGGGGAAACCUCCUUAUUGAUUGGAGUAGCAGCCCCAGAGCUGGGGGAGGCGUAGCUGUGGAUUCAGCCAGGAUGGCUCGUUUGGGUGGGGAGGGGACACAUGGCACAGAGGAGCACCGGAGAGUCCAUGGGGUGGGGUGGGGAAGCUGCAGGCUGUCCCCUGGCCCUGCCCCCCAUACCUGUGUCUGCAGCUUUUCUUCAGACAACUAGCAGAUAUUUCCUGAUCACAGGUUCUCAUGGGGGACUUCAGUCACCCUGACACCUGCUGGGAGGGAAUACAGCAGUGUGCAGGCAAUCCGGGGAGUUUUUGGAGAGCGUGCAGUAACUCUGGGUACUGUACAGUCAUGUAGUAUUUGACUUGCACCAGGAAGUUGUUCCCAGCAGUCGCGCUGCUGAAUGUUUUUUUCAUGACACUGACUGCACAAUAGCUUGUGACUACUGCACAAUAGCAUUGCAUCACACUUCUUGCUAUGUGACACUACUGUGCAGUAAUCAUGGGCUGCUGUCCAGCCAGUGCCUCAUGUACAUGUGGCUAAUAUUUAUAUGUUGCUCAUUCAUAUAAAGAUUCAGAUCUGUUACCCCGUUUUUUUUCACUGAGAUUUUGCACUGAACCUGUUUGCCUGAGGACUGGAAGAGUGCCAACUCACUUGUGUCCUUGUGAAAAGUACUGAUCUGGAAAGAAGGCUUCUUAUCCCUUUCCCUCAUCAUCUGGGCAUGCCACUUGCCACGCUCUGUUUCUUUUACUUUGCUGACUAACCUGCUGUAACACCUGCAGAGGUUCCUUUUGGAACAGGCCUGCUUUAGCCACAUACCUGCGAUUUAGCAUGAGUCCCUUGAAAACAGCUAAGGUUUCAACGGGCCAACAAAGUUUGUAGCUGACUACGUACAGCACAGCUGUGCCAAAAAGGCAAAAUGGAAGUUGUUAUGGUGAGCUGCUGUUACACACUUUUCCAAAAAGCAGUUCUUCAUUCUUGGCCAAGUCUAAUAUUAGUGGCUUGAGAAGCUGCUCAGGCUAUUGCUUGCGAUUCAAAAGCAAGCUUAUUGAUUCUUGACUGUAUGCCAGUUUAAGCACAUAUUCCUAAUUCAGGGUUGUCCUAGACCAGACUCAGUGCGGUCCGUCAGUCACUGACCAGGUCUGCAGCCUACAGGGAUGCCCUCAGCUGUUUCUUCCAGGAAGCUUGUACUGAGACCAUGACACAACUCCCUGGACACUGUGGUGUUGAGGGAGGCCAGGCAGAGGUGUUCAGGCUCAGGGCACAACAUUAUGGAUGUGUGUGCAGGCUCUGGCAUUUCCUGUUAGGAGAUACCUCAUUCUCCAGGAAGGCAAAUGGCAGUAGGUAGCAGCCACGUUGUAGAUGACCACAGCCCCCCUGCUCCCUUCACGAAUCAGUGAGAUAUGAGCUGUGCCAGGAGGCAGGACUUGGCAGGGAGUUGCAGGAAGCAGGGGUAAAAGUCUCCAUUCAGAUCCAGCCCAGGGGCUUUGUAGCAGGGCCUGAGAGCAGGACAACAGGGUGCCUUCCCAGGGCUUUACUGCCCACCAUGUCCAGGAGCCCUGCUUGCUCUGGGGCCUGACACCAGUUCCCCUUUUCUCCCUCUCCCCUUUUGAUGCUUUGUCUCCGUGGAAGGUGGAUGCAUUGUUCCUGUUCUGGGCUUGGCAGUUGUAUCUAGCUCCCUAUGCCCAGAUCACUCUUCUCCACUUUUCUCACUCCUGCCGCAUGUAUCAUUGCCCUGUCACAACCAUGUGCUCUGGGGAGAAACACAUUCAUGGCGCCCCCUGUUUUGGCCUUCCCUGAAUGGUAUAAUUUGUGGUUUUUCUCACUGAAAUGUUCUUAGACCCCCUGCUUGGUUUCAGAGGAAGGAGUGGGGAUUUAAGGCUUGAAUUUCUGUGUAUGUUAAAGGGAGAAAUUUCUUCACUGCGGGCUAUGACUCCUUCUGAGGAAAGGGCUCGUAGCUUGGAAAGAAGGGACGCCGUGCUGUUCCCUGUGGCUGUGAAGGUUGCAUGUGCCCUGCACCUUGUCUCAUGUUAGCAGGCAGGACCGAAUGCAGAGUGUCAGGAGGCAGCAGCCAGGCUCCCAGGUGGUCCAUGAGGACCCAGCAGUAACAGUCUCCAGGAACAGCAGCCGCCGGACUCUGGCGCAGGUCCUGCCAACAGGCUCAGGCAGCCAAGGUUGCACAGUUGCUGUCUCACAGAUGGCUGCUGUGGGGAUCUCACUGCUGCUCUCAAGACCAACCCCAGCCUGACAGAGCUGAACCUGGGUGGCAACACUGGUCUGGGGGAUGUUGGCGUGCAGCUGCUGAGCGAGUGGCUGAGACAUCCCAGCUGCAAGUUUCAGACACUGGGGUUGUGGGGUUGUGAUCUCACAGAUGCCUCCUGUGGGGAUCUUGCCUCUGCUCUCAGCACCAGUCCCAGCCUGACACUGCUGGACCUGGGUUAUAACACUGGUCUGGGAGCUGGCGGUGUGCGGCGGCUGUGCGAGGGACUGAGACACCCCAGCUGCAAGUUACAGACACUGGGGUUGAGCCUUCACAAACUAGAUGCAGAAACCAAGCAAGAUCUGGAGGCUGUAAAAGGAAUAAAGCCUGGUCUGGUCAUAGAGGAGCUGAAAUGGCUUGUUUUUAAUUGGUGAGAAAUCUCCUUGCACUGGCUGCCCUGCCACUACCUGGAGGAGAAGGGAGAGGAGCAGGAAGCACCUGCCACUUUCCAUCUGCUCAGCCAUCACUGCCAGGGACUCCAGCAGCAGCAACGCACAAGCUGGGUGAAGAUGGUCAGGGCCAAUCUCCUAUAUGUGAGGAGAGACUGAUGAGUAGGAGCUGGAUUUGCUCCAUGUUUGAUCUGACGUUUUGGGGGGAUUUGGCUUCAGAGGUGGGAGUGGAGUUUAAAGCAGCAGGGCUGUGGGGCUCAGGCCCUGGGGACGGGGAGCUGUGAACUCCUGAGGGGUCUGGGUACCAGUUUCUUACUGCUUCUCUGGGUGGAGAAGAGGCCCACAAAGCCGCUCUUUGGAGCCCAUGGGGAGUUUCCAGUCUGCAGAGUAGCUGUCCCUGGCACUUGCAUAUCCCCAGGGUGUUUGCAGUGUCACGUGCUUCCACAGCCGCAGAGCUGGUGUUUUCUGUCUCCAUCCCCAGCAUUUCACUUUACCUGGUGAAAUGCUUGUGCUGGUUUUGCUAGAAUCCAAUAAAGAUCCUGCAUCCAGAAA